UACGUAGGGUGCGAGCGUUAAUCGGAAUUACUGGGCGUAAAGCGUGCGCAGGCUGUUUUGUAAGUCAGAUGUGAAAUCCCUGAGCUCAGCUUAGGAACUGCGUUUGAAACUACAAGACUAGAAUAUGUCAGAGGGGGGUAGAAUUCCACGUGUAGCAGUGAAAUGCGUAGAGAUGUGGAGGAAUACCAAUGGCGAAGGCAGCCCCCUGGGAUAAUAUUGACGCUCAUGCACGAAAGCGUGGGGAGCAAACAGG
rnacentral:rRNA from 1 species